rnacentral:rRNA from 1 species
GCCCAGACUCCUACGGGAGGCAGCAGUGGGGAAUAUUGCGCAAUGGGCGGAAGCCUGACGCAGCGACGCCGCGUGGGGGAUGAAGGCCUUCGGGUUGUAAACCCCUUUCACCAGGAGCGAAUCCAGACGGUACCUGGGGAAGAAGCGCCGGCUAACUACGUGCCAGCAGCCGCGGUAAUACGUAGGGCGCAAGCGUUGUCCGGAAUUAUUGGGCGUAAAGAGCUCGUAGGCGGCCUGUCGCGUCCGCUGUGAAAUCCUGGGGCUUAACCCCGGGCGUGCAGUGGAUACGGGCUGGCUAGAGGCAGGCAGGGGAGAACGGAAUUCCCGGUGUAGCGGUGAAAUGCGCAGAUAUCGGGAGGAACACCGGUGGCGAAGGCGGUUCUCUGGGCCUGUUCUGACGCUGAGGAGCGAAAGCGUGGGGAGCAAACAGGAUUAGAUACCCUGGUAGUCCACGCCGUAAACGUUGGGCGCUAGGUGUGGGGCCCUUCCACGGGCUCUGUGCCGCAGCUAACGCA